rnacentral:rRNA from 1 species
GAUGAACGCUGGCGGCGUGCCUAAUACAUGCAAGUCGAGCGAACAGACGAGGAGCUUGCUCCUCUGACGUUAGCGGCGGACGGGUGAGUAACACGUGGAUAACCUACCUAUAAGACGGGGAUAACUUCGGGAAACAGGAGACAAUACCGGAUAAUAUAUUGAACCGCAUGGUUCAAUAGUGAAAGACGGUUUUGCUGUCACUUAUAGAUGGAUCCGCGCCGCAUUAGCUAGUUGGUAAGGUAACGGCUUACCAAGGCAACGAUGCGUAGCCGACCUGAGAGGGUGAUCGGCCACACUGGAACUGAGACACGGUCCAGACUCCUACGGGAGGCAGCAGUAGGGAAUCUUCCGCAAUGGGCGAAAGCCUGACGGAGCAACGCCGCGUGAGUGAUGAAGGUCUUCGGAUCGUAAAACUCUGUUAUUAGGGAAGAACAACUGUGUAAGUAACUAUGCACGUCUUGACGGUACCUAAUCAGAAAGCCCCGGCUAACUACGUG